rnacentral:misc_RNA from 1 species
AUGAAAAAUAUAUCCAAAAUUCAAAGCAAUAAAUAUAACAUUUUUAUUAAUGCAUAUAUUCCUCUAUCAGUGCAUUUUGCUAGUUGCACGUCCAACAAGGACGGAUGUGGCUAUAGAGGUCAUGGCAGGACCAAUUAUUGCCAAACUCAACAACACCCAUAUUCCGCAACCGUCACAUUCUAUAAUUGCAAUGGCCAAGGAGAUGUGGCCAAACAAUGUCCUUCACCCAAGUAAACACAGUCAUCCGCCAAUAGAACCAAUAAUGCUUCCAAUCCAAUCUCCAAUUUUGCUUCUACUAUAACACCCAAUGUGCAGUCAUGGACAAUGGAUUCUGGUGUGAACUACCAUCUCACUGCUAAUGA